rnacentral:rRNA from 1 species
UGGGGAAUAUUGGACAAUGGGCGCAAGCCUGAUCCAGCAAUGCCGCGUGAGUGAAGAAGGCCUUAGGGUUGUAAAGCUCUUUCGCCUGCGACGAUGAUGACGGUAGCAGGAGAAGAAGCCCCGGCUAAUUCCGUGCCAGCAGCCGCGGUAAUACGGAAGGGGCUAGCGUUGUUCGGAAUCACUGGGCGUAAAGCGCGCGUAGGCGGCCGGUCAAGUGCGGCGUGAAAGUCCUGGGCUCAACCUGGGGACGGCGCUGCGGACUGUUCGGCUGGAGUCCGGAAGAGGGUGGUGGAAUUCCGAGUGUAGAGGUGAAAUUCGUAGAUAUUCGGAGGAACACCGGUGGUGAAGGCGGCCACCUGGUCCGGCACUGACGCUCAAGCGCGAAAGCGUGGGGAGCAAACAGGAUUAGAUACCCUGGUAGUCCACGCCGUAAACGAUGGGUGCUAGAUGUCGGGGGGCUUGGCCCUUCGGUGUCGGAGCUAACGCGUUAAGCACCCCGCCUGGGGA